rnacentral:rRNA from 1 species
GGGGAAUUUUGGACAAUGGGGGAAACCCUGAUCCAGCCAUCCCGCGUGUGCGAUGAAGGCCUUCGGGUUGUAAAGCACUUUUGGCAGGAAAGAAACGUCGCGGGUUAAUACCCUGCGAAACUGACGGUACCUGCAGAAUAAGCACCGGCUAACUACGUGCCAGCAGCCGCGGUAAUACGUAGGGUGCAAGCGUUAAUCGGAAUUACUGGGCGUAAAGCGUGCGCAGGCGGUUCGGAAAGAAAGAUGUGAAAUCCCACGGCUCAACCGUGGAACUGCCUUUGAUACUGCUUAGCUUGAAUCCGGGAGAGGGUGGCGGAAUUCCAGGUGUAGGAGUGAAAUCCGUAGAUAUCUGGAGGAACAUCAGUGGCGAAGGCGGCCACCUGGACCGGUAUUGACGCUGAGGUGCGAAAGCGUGGGGAGCAAACA